UACAGAGGGUGCAAGCGUUAAUCGGAAUUACUGGGCGUAAAGCGUGCGUAGACGGUUACAUAAGUCGGAUGUGAAAUCCCCGGGCUCAACCUGGGAAUGGCAUUCGAGACUGCGUAGCUAGGGUGCGGAAGAGGGAAGCGGAAUUUCCGGUGUAGCGGUGAAAUGCGUAGAUAUCGGAAGGAACACCAGUGGCGAAGGCGACUGUCUGGCCAGAUACUGACGCUGAGGCGCGAAAGCGUGGGGAGCAAACAGG
rnacentral:rRNA from 1 species